rnacentral:tRNA from 1 species
GGGGGUGUGACUUGGUUGGUAGAGUGAUUGCCUUGCAUGCAUGAAACCCUGGGUUCAAUCCCUACAAACCCCA